UACAGAGGGGGCAAGCGUUAUUCGGAAUUAUUGGGCGUAAAGGGCGCGUAGGCGGCUUUGCAAGUGACGGGUGAAAUCCCUCGGCUUAACCGAGGAACUGCCUGUCAGACUGCAUGGCUUGAGACCAGGAGAGGUGAGUGGAAUUCCCAGUGUAGCGGUGAAAUGCGUAGAUAUUGGGAGGAACACCAGGGGCGAAGGCGGCUCACUGGACUGGUACUGACGCUGAUGCGCGAAAGCGUGGGGAGCAAACAGG
rnacentral:rRNA from 1 species